AACGUAGGAGACAAACGUUAUCCGGAGUUACUGGGCGUAAAGGGCGUGUAGGUGGUUUCGUAAGUCUGGCGUGAAAUAUCUCGGCUUAACCGAGGCAGGCCGUCGGAUACUGCGGGACUAGAGGACGGUAGAGGCGUGUGGAAUUCCGGGUGUAGUGGUGAAAUGCGUAGAGAUCCGGAGGAACACCAGUGGCGAAGGCGACACGCUGGGCCGUACCUGACACUGAUGCGCGACAGCAUGGGGAGCAAACAGG
rnacentral:rRNA from 1 species